CCCUACGGGGCGCAGCAGGCGCGAAAACUUUACAAUGCGGGAAACCGUGAUAAGGGAACACCGAGUGCCAGCAUCAUAUGCCGGCUGUCCAGAUGUGUAAACUACAUCUGUUAGCAAGGGCCGGGCAAGACCGGUGCCAGCCGCCGCGGUAACACCGGCGGCCCGAGUGGUGACCGUUAUUAUUGGGUCUAAAGGGUCCGUAGCCGGUUUGGUCAGUCCUCCGGGAAAUCUGAUAGCUUAACUGUUAGGCUUUCGGGGGAUACUGCCAGGCUUGGAACCGGGAGAGGUAAGAGGUACUACAGGGGUAGGAGUGAAAUCUUGUAAUCCCUGUGAGACCACCUGUGGCGAAGGCGUCUUACCAGAACGGGUUCGACGGUGAGGGACGAAAGCUGGGGGCAUGAACCGGAUUAGAUACCCGGGUAGUCCCAGCCGUAAACUAUGCUCGCUAGGUGUCAGGCAUGGCGCGACCGUGUCUGGUGCCGCAGGGAAGCCGUGAAGCGAGCCACCUGGGAAGUACGGCCGCAAGGCUGAAACUUAAAGGAAUUGGCGGGGGAGCACAACAACGGGUGGAGCCUGCGGUUUAAUUGGACUCAACGCCGGGAAGCUCACCGGAUAAGACA
rnacentral:rRNA from 1 species